AUUGAACGCUGGCGGCAGGCCUAACACAUGCAAGUCGAACGGUAACAGGAAGCAGCUUGCUGCUUCGCUGACGAGUGGCGGACGGGUGAGUAAUGUCUGGGAAACUGCCUGAUGGAGGGGGAUAACUACUGGAAACGGUAGCUAAUACCGCAUAACGUCGCAAGACCAAAGAGGGGGACCUUAGGGCCUCUUGCCAUCGGCUGUGCCCAGAUGGGAUUAGCUAGUAGGUGGGGUAACGGCUCACCUAGGCGACGAUCCCCAGCUGGUCUGAGAGGCUGACCAGCCACACUGGAACUGAGACACGGGCCAGACUCCUACGGGAGGCAGCAGUGGGGAAUAUUGCACAAUGGGCGAAAGACUGAUGCAGACAUGACGCGUGUAUGAAGAAGGCCUUCGGGUUGUAAAGUACUUUCAGCGGGGAGGAAGGGAGUAAAGUUAAUACCUUUGCUCAUUGACGUUACCCGCAGAAGAAGCACCGGCUAACUACGUG
rnacentral:rRNA from 1 species